rnacentral:lncRNA from 1 species
AAAUUAUUUUAUUAUUUUGUUCAAAUAAUAUAUACAUGUUCAUAAAUAUAAAAAAAAAACAAAUUAUAUUUAGGAAGUUAGUUUUAAUAUAAAAUUAUAACGACGCGCCAUCUAGUUUCAAAAACGUUCCGAUGAUGAAACGCGACAUCUCCGGUCAAUCGGUCAAGGUUAGCACGUGGCGACCAGAAAUAUUUGUGGAAUAACACGGGACAGUGUGCUGAGUUUAUGGUUUUAGAACUGGAAAAGCCAAUGAUUCUGCAACACGACUACCCUAGACUGAACGCCAUUGCUUUCACACUUAAGGCCACACAGAAACUCGGAUUUAAAGUUCUCGAAGACUCUUUGCAGCCCAGAUUUGACGCCCUCAAACUUUUCGUUGAUUUCUACUUUCGAGCGAAAUCUCAAAGGAAUUCAUUUCACUCGUGACGACAUUCGACCCGCCACAAAGAAAUGGUUCGAGAACAAGCCGAAGAAGACUAGGUCAAGUGUUACUAAGUUGGAAAUACUGAACUUUGUUCCUUUAAUGUUAUGACGUAACACAUGUCACGUAUUUGUGGAAAGUAACCAAUUGUUUGAAUGCAUUGUUAAUAAUGCAUUGUUAAUAUUUCUAUUGUUGGUGCAGUUUCGUUGGAGGAAAAAACAAGUGAACUUCCGCUUUCUUCUUUUCACCUGUUUUUUUCUUUAGAUUUGUGGAAAAAAUCUUGAUAGCAAGUAAAUAAACUAUGAAUUUUGAUUUAUAAGAAAUGUGAUAGAAUGUUGAAUUCAAACAUAUUUAAUUUAACACGUUUAAUUUCUACUUAGAAUAUGUUCCGUGAAGUGUUCGAAGCGCAUUAUAUUUCAUUUGCAAUAUUCGUUCGCGUGUUUCAUUAUGGUAAGGUAUCGUUACUGACUUUCGUUGUUAGUUGUUAGAAUAUCGUAUGCAUUAGUUUAUACAGGAAUAAUACGGUAAGUUUAAUGUACUGUACAAAUGUUUGUAUGUACAAUUUUGAUUAUUAUUAAACUAUUUAAUUAGCGUUAUGCAGCUGUUUUUCAAAUUUGAGUUAGGACGAAUGAAACUCCACAAGUGAUGCUAAUUAUGUGUAGAGUUUCAUUCUUUCCAGCUCUCGGUGGAACUCUGACGCAGCCACCUCCCCGUGGUGAGUUCUGGGUUGCCAUUCGUUUGGAAAUAACGAAGGGCAUGCAAAGAGUUGCGUGUUUCCGUUUAAUUUAUUAUUGUAAGAAUGAAUGAAAAGAAGCCAAUACACGUAGGAAUAACAGAAGUAACAAGCAGUUAUUUAUUGUGACGUCACAAUGUUCUCAAUUCUAGUAAUAUCUCGUACUUCUACAUUGUAGUUUUUCUGUUAGCAAUAGAAUUUAAUUGAAUGUUGUUUAUCUAUGUUAAUAAGUUACCGGCAUUCGGUGGAAAAUAUUUGAAUUGAAAUAAUUUGAUUUCCGUGCAAACCGGAAGUUCGUAUAGCCUACAGUUAAUGGGGCCUUUUCCCCCAAAGCUUUCCAUAUCUGUUUUCGACUUUCGUGUAUCUAAUUCUGGAAAUUAAGGAAAGACACACCGAUAAACGGUCGCCAGAGGAAAUUUAUAUGUAUGUUUAAAUCACGAUUAUGGAUUCCAGUUCAGGAGAGUGUUCUGUUAAGACGUGUUGCUGUUUUUGUGAGGAACUGUUUUUAUUCUUUCUGGUGCCUGGGUUAGGUAAAGUUUUAAAAUAAUACAG